UACGGAGGGUGCAAGCGUUGUCCGGAUUUAUUGGGUUUAAAGGGUGCGUAGGCGGCUUUUUAAGUCAGCGGUGAAAGACAACAGUUCAACUGUUGCAGUGCCAUUGAUACUGAAGAGCUUGAGUACAGAUGAGGUAGGCGGAAUUUAUGGUGUAGCGGUGAAAUGCAUAGAUACCAUAAAGAACACCUAUUGCGAAGGCAGCUUACUAAGCUGUAACUGACGCUGAGGCACGAAAGUGUGGGGAUCAAACAGG
rnacentral:rRNA from 1 species